rnacentral:ncRNA from 1 species
GCCGUCUCAAAGGGGUGCUCUACAAGGGCUGAGAUUAUACCCAAAGAACCUGGGCAGGUAAUGCUGCCAAGGGAAAGGCAAAAAGCACAAU